UUGACUGUUUAUCUUUCAUCAGCUCCUCCUACCAAUAGUGAAUGUUGUUUUUUUACUACUUAUAUAAAGAAUCCGGCCAUAAUGUUUUACCUUGAUUUUCGAUAUUCGACUUGUUAAGCUAAGUGUGGUGUGUUGUAGUGUUAAAUGAUAUUUUGUAUUCGACAUUUAAAUUAAUAUUUUCACAGGAAAACUGCUGUCCUUGUAGAACAUAAUGGAGUCAAGGUAUUGCUCGUUCGUGCUCUUCUUGUCUGUGUUGAUGGCAGUACUGCUUACAACCGAGGCCAUUCUUGGAUCAAGCAGAAGAAGGCGCUCGUCGUCGAGUUUUUCAAAGCCUCGUAAGGAUGAAGUAGCGGAAUUAGAAGUUAAAAAAAGACGCAGUGGUCCUACAUUAAAGGAAUCACUUGAAAGCGUAAUUGGGAAAGAAAAGUCCGGAUCCCAGGUACUUUAUGAAGGCGGUCUUCCAGGAGAAACCGGUGGUCAAUCAAAAUAACGAUUGCUCAGAUAUUCUCUGUUUUCUGACAUUCCAUUGAUCAGUAGUUGUGGUAUAAUCACGAAGAUAAUAUUUAGGAAUUACUGAUUCCUUAUGUUUUUAAAUAUUGCUCUAAAGUUAAUUCGUAAAUCGCAAGAAGAGAACGUGCCGAACAAUGCAAAAUUGGUGUUUAUUGCAGCACGUAUAGCCUUGAUCCACUUGUUAUGCGUUCGAAAAAAAAAAUAAUCAGUCAUAUUUUGAGAUUUAUUGUAAUGUCACGUGGCACUUAGAGUAGCACGAAGAAGAGUUAAACACAGGAACUGCCGCUUUAAAUGUUAUGAUGAAUUUAACGAAUGCUGUGAAGAAAUAUUUGUUUUCACAUUUCAAACUCUCAUUCAGAACUAUUGUCACUUGCCUAUUUCUGUGACAUAUUGAUACAUAAAUUAUUACCUAGGGCCUAAAGCACUGUCGAUAUUAUUCUCUUUGAUAAAAAGCUGUGGUAUGCCCGUAUAUAGACAUGAUGUGCCAACAUAUGGUCUUGAUGUGAUGUAAUCAUGACCAUGUUUUAGGCAUGUCACUUGUUUUUGUCAAAAAAAAAAAGUUGAUAGUCUGGACAGGGGUUUACUUUUAAUAAUAGCCAUCUGUUGACAAUUAAACAGUGAGUUAAAAAGUAUAAAUAUUAUAGCCUUUUACACAAGAUCUCGAAAUAAUAUACUCGCAUUAUGUCUUUGUGCGCGAAAUAAUUAUCUACAUUAUGUGUUUGUGAAAGCACGAACUAUGACCGCUUUGCAGUGAUUUUUUAAAAAAUAUUUGCUUUUGGGUUUCAACGUGCCAGCAAAUCCAAAUAAUUAUAUAAAUUAAAUCAAGUAAACUAAGGCUAUCAAAUGCAGCGUAACUAAUAACAAUUAGGCCUAUGUAACUUGACUGUUGAAUAAUUAAUUAUCUAUUUAUAAGUAUUUUUUUUUAAAUAUAAUUUUAAUUUAAGUGUCUUUCUUUUGUAAACUUUAAUUUGUUUAUAGUUCUUGUACCACUUGUUUUUGACGCACCUUCACUGAAAAGGUGUGUUCGUAAUAAAUUAUUAUAGUAUUUUUAUAUAAUAUUGUAUGAGUAGUUAAGUGUUUCUUUGCCAAACUGUUAGUGGCUAUAAUUAGCUGUUGGUUUGGUUACAGAUAAAUGAAAUGAAUUAUGGAAAUAAAUGU